rnacentral:rRNA from 1 species
ACAGGUACUGGAGGACCGAACCCACUAAUGUUGAAAAAUUAGGGGAUGAGCUGUGGAUAGGGGUGAAAGGCUAAUCAAACUUGGAGAUAGCUGGUUCUCUCCGAAAACUAUUUAGGUAGUGCCUCGUAUAUCAUUCUCGGGGGUAGAGCACUGUUAUGGCUAGGGGGUACAUACGUACUUACCAAACCAUUGCAAACUCCGAAUACCGAGAAAUGCAAUUACGGGAGACAGACUGCGGGUGCUAACGUCCGUAGUCGAGAGGGAAACAACCCAGACCGACAGCUAAGGUCCCAAAUGACGUGCUAAGUGGUAAACGAAGUGGGAAGGCAUAGACAGCCAGGAGGUUGGCUUAGAAGCAGCCAUCCUUUAAAGAAAGCGUAAUAGCUCACUGGUCGAGUCGUCCUGCGCGGAAAAUGUAACGGGGCUAAGCACGUAACCGAAGCUUCGGAUGCCAUAUUUAUAUGGCAUGGUAGGAGAGCGUUCUGUAGGCCUGUGAAGGUGUGCUGUCAGGCAUGCUGGAGGUAUCAGAAGUGCGAAUGCUGACAUGAGUAGCGAUAAAGGGGGUGAAAAGCCCCCUCGCCGAAAGCCCAAGGUUUCCUGCGCAACGUUCAUCGGCGCAGGGUGAGUCGGCCCCUAAGGUGAGGCAGAGAUGCGUAGCUGAUGGGAAACGGUUUAAUAUUACCGUACCUCGAUACAAUGCGAUGUGGGGACGGAGAAGGUUAGGUCAGCCGGGUGUUGGAUAUCCCGGUUCAAGCGUGUAGUCAGACUUCUUAGGUAAAUCCGGGAGGUUGUUAAUGACGAGGCGUGAUAACGAGUCUACUUGUAGACGAAGUGAUUGAUACCAUGCUUCCAAGAAAAGCCACUAAGCUUCAGUUGUAUCAGACCGUACCGCAAACCAACACAGGUGGGCAGGAUGAGAAUUCUAAGGCGCUUGAGAGAACCCGGGAGAAGGAACUCGGCAAAUUAACACCGUAACUUCGGGAGAAGGUGUGCCUCCGUUAGGUGAAAAAAUUUACUUUUGGAGCUGAAGGGGGUUGCAGAGAAAUGGGGGUGGCGACUGUUUACUAAAAACACAGGACUCUGCUAAGUCGCAAGACGAUGUAUAGGGUCUGACGCCUGCCCGGUGCUGGAAGGUUAAGGGGACUUGUUAUCUGCCUUCGGGUAGAGAAGCUUUGAACCGAAGCCCCAGUAAACGGCGGCCGUAACUAUAACGGUCCUAAGGUAGCGAAAUUCCUUGUCGGGUAAGUUCAGACC